UACUAGAAUUGUAACGGCCCCGGAAAUUUAAAAUGAAAUUUAUAUUAAAAAUAUCAAAUACGAAAGCGAAGUCAAAAUUUUAAUUAACAUCCCUUACACAAUAACCAAAACGUACUCAAAACAUGAAAUUACAAACUAACUAAAAGAGAUAAUCGAGAUAAGAACUAUAAAUAUAGCUAUGUAGUCUUUAGCCGUCCCCUUCGUCGUCCUCCUGCGGAACGGGCUCGGGAACAAUGUCUUCCUGAUCUGAAAUGAUUAAAUAAGGAAUGAGCUACACUAGCCCAGUAAAGACAUCACGAUAUCUCACCGUCACGGAGGUAAAGGUGGGGUAGAAA
rnacentral:lncRNA from 1 species